GGGGGCUUUGAAGUCUAACUCCCUGGGCUAAUACAGUGAGCAUCCUUCCUGGGCCAUGCCUGUGGGUCCUCUUCAUGCCUUCUCUGCCAUGCACACCAGACUCCUCUGCUGGGUAGUUUUCUGGCUCCUGCGGGCAGGUCCCAUGAAUGCUGGCGUCACCCAGAACCCAGAACACCUGGUCAGAGGGACAGGACAAGAAGCAAUGCUGAGAUGCAGCCCAGAGAAAGAACACGAUUAUGUUUACUGGUAUCAGCAGCUCCCGGGAGAAGGUCUGAAAUUCAUGGUUUACCUCCAGAAGGAAAAUAUCAUAGACGACUCCGGAAUGCCGACAAAACGCUUUUCUGCUGAAUUUCCCAAAGAGGGACCCAGCGUCUUAAAGAUCCGGCUGGCAGAGUUGGGAGACUCUGCAGUGUACUUCUGUGCCAGCUCCUUACCCACAUCAAUGCAGAGUCCCAUCCUGUCAAUGCAGGAACACCCUCCAGGCCCCGCCCCAGAAACAGCCACGGGCUGGGGAAGGGAAGGGCGCGUGUAG